UUUCCUAAAUGUCUGAUUAACCCAGGAAUCUGCCCUGGUCCAAAUCCUUUCUCUUUCUCCAGUCUCUUUAGGUGAGUUAUCUGCUCACGUGGUUAGGCGUUUCAGUGCCAGUACUCCUCUGAGUUUCAAAGCAAGGAAACCCCCUGCUUGCUAACACAUCCUCAGUGUAAGAUCUUCCAAAGUUAACCUGUUGUCUUCCUUUAUCUCCAGCCUUCCCUUCCCCAGACGGUCUCGGUAUCAGCAGCACCUGAACAUCCAAAGAAGAAAUACAAGAGCCGUUUUACAUUCCUCCCUCUUCAUUUUUCCUGUAGCUACUCAGCUACUACCUGGAGGAACUGGAAAAAUAUGCUGUGCAGAAAAGUCCUAGAGGUCUCACAAUAUAUCACAUCCCUCCCAAAUGGAAGGUUUGGAGCUAGAUGCAAAAGCAAAAGCAAGACAAAAAGCGACCAAAAUCCAAAGGAAUCUCUAGAGCAAUGAAAGCUGCAGUUUGCUGAAGUGCUGCCCCCGUUUCCCUGCUUUACAACUGCCUUAGCAAGAAAGAAAAAGAGAAGGAGGAAACAGAAGAAAGAAGAGGAAGAAGUCCCGAAUACCUCACAAGGCUCAG